UCGGGAAUUUUGGGCAAUGGGCGAAAGCCUGACCCAGCAACGCCGCGUGAAGGAUGAAGUAUUUCGGUAUGUAAACUUCGUAAGAAUAGGAAGAAUAAAUGACGGUACUAUUUGUAAGGUCCGGCUAACUACGUGCCAGCAGCCGCGGUAAUACGUAGGGACCAAGCGUUGUUCGGAUUUACUGGGCGUAAAGGGCGCGUAGGCGGUGUGUCAAGUCAGUUGUGAAAUCUCCGAGCUUAACUCGGAACGGUCAACUGAUACUGUCACACUAGAGUACAGAAGGGGCAAUCGGAAUUCUUGGUGUAGCGGUGAAAUGCGUAGAUAUCAAGAGGAACACCUGAGGCGAAGGCGGGUUGCUGGGCUGACACUGACGCUGAGGCGCGAAAGCCAGGGGAGCAAACGGGAUUAGAUACCCUAGUAGUCCCUGAGCGGGCUGGCAAGGCGCAU
rnacentral:rRNA from 1 species